rnacentral:rRNA from 1 species
CCUACGGGAGGCAGCAGUGGGGAAUAUUGCACAAUGGGCGCAAGCCUGAUGCAGCAACGCCGCGUGAGGGACGACGGCCUUCGGGUUGUAAACCUCUUUUAGUAGGGAAGAAGCGAAAGUGACGGUACCUGCAGAAAAAGCACCGGCUAACUACGUGCCAGCAGCCGCGGUAAUACGUAGGGUGCAAGCGUUGUCCGGAAUUAUUGGGCGUAAAGAGCUCGUAGGCGGUUUGUCGCGUCUGCUGUGAAAACCCCGAGGCUCAACCUCGGGCCUGCAGUGGGUACGGGCAGACUAGAGUGCGGUAGGGGAGAUUGGAAUUCCUGGUGUAGCGGUGGAAUGCGCAGAUAUCAGGAGGAACACCGAUGGCGAAGGCAGAUCUCUGGGCCGUAACUGACGCUGAGGAGCGAAAGCAUGGGGAGCGAACAGGAUUAGAUACCCUGGUAGUCCAUGCGUAACGUUAGGUAACGUAGAUAGUAGGACGACUACCUACGGUUACGUUGUGUCGUCGAGCUAACGACAUUAACGUUACCCGUCCGUCGGGUAGGUACGGCCGCGACGGACGUAAACCUACAAACGAAGUUAGACGGCGUGAGACGUGCCGACGGACGACCGACGAGGGAGGUAGG